UAAGGAAUAUUGCGCAAUGGGGGAAACCCUGACGCAGCAACGCCGCGUGGAGGAUGACACUUUUCGGAGCGUAAACUCCUUUUAUCAGGAAAGAAUAAUGACGGUACCUGAUGAAUAAGCACCGGCUAACUCCGUGCCAGCAGCCGCGGUAAUACGGGGGGUGCAAGCGUUACUCGGAAUCACUGGGCGUAAAGGACGCGUAGGCGGAUUAUCAAGUCUUUUGUGAAAUCUAGUGGCUUAACCACUAAACUGCUUAGGAAACUGAUAGUCUAGAGUAGGGGAGAGGUAGAUGGAAUUCUUGGUGUAGGGGUAAAAUCCGUAGAGAUCAAGAAGAAUACCCAUUGCGAAAGCGAUCUGCUGGAACCUAACUGACGCUGAGGCGUGAAAGCGUGAGUAGCAAACAGG
rnacentral:rRNA from 1 species